UCGUGUCGUGAGAUGUGGGUUAAGUCCCGCAACGAGCGCAACCCUCGACCUUAGUUGCCAGCAUUCAGUUGGGCACUCUAAGGUGACUGCCGGCUAAAAGUCGGAGGAAGGUGGGGAUGACGUCAAAUCAUCAUGCCCCUUAUGACCUGGGCUACACACGUGCUACAAUGGGCGGUACAAAGGGUCGCGAACCCGCGAGGGGGAGCCAAUCCCAAAAAGCCGCUCUCAGUUCGGAUUGCAGGCUGCAACUCGCCUGCAUGAAGCCGGAAUCGCUAGUAAUCGCGGAUCAGCAUGCCGCGGUGAAUACGUUCCCGGGCCUU
rnacentral:rRNA from 1 species